UGGGAUAUCCAUCUCCUGCCCUGCAGGGUCGGUACGUGUCUGUGGUCAGGACAGCAGCUGUGCGUAUGCGGCCGCGGCGAGCAUGGCCUAAGAGUUCCUGGCCCAACAGUGCAGCAGAAACCUAUUCGAAUGGUUCAGCAUUUCAUUGGAAAAGGCACCGAGAGGUCUCUGGGAAGAGUCUGUGCUAAUGGUAAAGACAUACAGAGGGUCAAGACGAAGCAGUGAUCUGUUGGCUGGGAAUUUGAUGACGUAAGUGGGUAUUUUAAUAGUAAAGGCAAAAUCUGUUGGCAUUUUGAUGAAAGAACUGCUGAUAUUAUAGAACUUACCAGUUAACUCGGUUUUACACUACAAAAUGAUUUAAAUGCCAAGUUCAAGGAAUUUUUGGCUCACCGAUUGACAUCUCUGACUCUUUUUUCGUUUGCAUUUAAAUGAUAAAACACAAAUCAAGAAGAGAUACAGCAGAGAGUAGGAUGCAGUGUUAAAAGCAUGACAUUGCCACUUGGCCAACUGUAGGACUCUUCACCCUUUCGAUACCACUUCUCCGUGGAUUAAAAAAACUUAGAGGACGUCCAUCUGUUGGGACCCCAGGGGACGUGCUAGAGCAUUAUGGGCGGCCAGAGGUGCAUGAAAUCUGCCACCGUAUCUUCCAAGACUUUUCAGUUCCAGGCCUUGGCUAAAAAUGCUCACAAAGCUCACCAAUUAUGACGUGUACCUGUGACCUAGGAGUUUUAUCAGUCUACUCGGACAGGGCAGUGAGCUGCCUUCGGAUGCAAGAGAUGUCUGUGCCUAUAGCAGCUGGGACUGAACUAGGGAAAAUCAAGAUGUUGAACAGACACUUUAAAUUGCAUACUUGUAGAGCUCCUGAAAGAAGCCUUUCAGAAAUCCAUCAUAGUCUUCUUCCCUUCGAGUGACUAGAUCCUCCCCUCAAUGUUCUUUCCUGCCGACUCAGGAGGCACCCGUAGACAAACACCAAGAAGAUUUAUUUAAAAGAAACUUGGAAGCAAUUUCUGACCAGUAUGCUCAAAUAGAGGUUCACGUUCUAAUCUCAGAAAAUGAUCACAAACGGAGUUGUCCGGUGGCCAAAUCUUGUGUUUUGAUCUACAGGCCAGGGGCAGAGAGGAAGAAAAGAAUUGAAGACACAGAUGUGGUUACUCUGUCCAACUUUUCCUUUGGAACACUGAGUCUAAAGAAUCCACUUGGAAGCAGAGGACAUUGGCAACAAAGGGCCGUCUUCAGCAGCUGGUGCUGUCAUAAGUUUGAAGUUCAGUCUGGUGUUGGUGUUGGUGAAGGUCUGAUUGCACAAGUCUCCAAGACCUGCCAAAAUAGAUGCCAGCUUUGGCUCAUGAGCCAAAAGAAAACAUGAACCGAAAUGUUAGGGUUCUACAAACGUCCAGUGCCAGUUGGUCUGAGAGAGUAGUUGCAACUCUAAGACCUGUGCGUUUGCUGGUCAAUGAUUACUCCCCCAUCCAAUUGCACUUUCUGAAAUACACUGUAUAAUGACCUCUUAUAUAGCAAAUAUAGUAUCCUUUGUAUUAUUUAGAAUCAAAAACCUGAACUGUUAUUAAAUGCAUUAAAUGUGAUUUUAUUUCAACUGAACCCUGAU
rnacentral:lncRNA from 1 species